AUUGAACGCUGGCGGCAGGCCUAACACAUGCAAGUCGAGCGGAGCGGCGGACGGGUGCGUAAUGCCUAGGAAUCUGCCUGGUAGUGGGGGAUAACGUCAGGAACCGGGCGCUAAUACCGCAUACUAUCAGAUGAGCCUAGGUCGGAUUAGCUAGUUGGUGGGGUAAUGGCCAACCAAGGCGACGAUCCGUAACUGGUCUGAGAGGAUGAGCAGUCACACUGGAACUAAGAACCGGUCCAGCCUCCUCCGGAAGGAAGCAGUGGGGAAUAUUGGAAAAUGGGCGAAAGCCUGAUCCAGCCAGGCCGGGUGUGUGAAGAAGGUCUUCGGAUUGUAAAGCACUUUAAUUUGGGAGGCGUUACCAACAGAAUAAGAACCGGCUAACUUCGUGCAAGCAGCGGCGUAAUUC
rnacentral:rRNA from 1 species